rnacentral:lncRNA from 10 species
GGUGUGCUUGCAGGCUUUGAAGAACAAGCUGCCAUGAAUCCUGCAGCUACAAGGAAAUGAACUCUAUUAACUUGAGUGAGCUUAAAACUAGAUCCUUCCCCAGUCAAGCCUCCAGGUGAGAAUUCAAUCCUGGCUGGCACCUGGAUUGCAGCUUACAGAAGACCCAGCUAAGGCCAUGUCUGGACUUUAAAUCCACAGGAACUGCAAGAGAACUGUUUGAUACACGCAACCAGGACUGUAUGAGAGGCUGGAAACGUAUCUAUCAGUACUACUUAUCUGUAGUAAAGACUUUUUUAAGCUCAUUUAUGAUUGCACAACCUAAAUAACCAUACAUGGCUGGGCCUGGGAAAGGCAGAAAGGCAGAUGGAUGGUAUCAGAAGUGGGACCUGCAGUGGGGCAUCUAGCAACCCCCAGGAGCAUUGAGUGACCAGGCUUGGGACCCACCGGGCGCAGGGUGUCCAUUGUUCUCUCGAAGCAACUGAGAAUUGUGGAUAUUCUUCAUUAUUCCAUCAUCAUCUCAAACCUCUUGGGUAUAGUGUUUGACUACUACUGUGACCAUAAAUUCCAAUAAAACCUAGGAAAAAUGAAACCACUACAUUAACUGAAAGGGAUAAGACAUGAUGGACAGAAAUUUCCAUGCAAUUAUUCCAUUCUGGUGAGAUUAGAAGGUGCUAAGCAGAUAAAGAAAUCAUCUUAUCAAGAAGGAAAAGUACCAUUUACUGAAGAAGGUCUGCUAAACUUUAAUCAUGACUGAAAAUAUAAAAAGACACUUUAAAUGGAUAAAUGCAGCUAUUGCACACAAUUGACAUGGCUGUAGAGAUGACAGAGUGAAGAGGUAUUUGAUCAGUCAUUUGUUAUAAAAG